CGAAGGAUGCAAGCGUUAUCCGGAUUCAUUGGGUUUAAAGGGUGCGUAGGCGGACUGAUAAGUCAGUGGUGAAAUCUCUUUGCUUAACAAAGAAACUGCCAUUGAUACUGUCGGUCUAGAGUAUAGAUGACGUUGGCGGAAUAUGACAUGUAGUGGUGAAAUACUUAGAUAUGUCAUAGAACACCGAUUGCGAAGGCAGCUAACGAAACUAUAACUGACGCUGAGGCACGAAAGUGCGGGGAUCAAACAGGAUUAGAUACCCUGGUAGUCCGCACCGUAAACGAUGAUUACUCAUUGUUGGCGAUAUGACAGUCAGCGACCAAGCGAAAGCGAUAAGUAAUCCACCUGGGGAGUACGCCGGCAACGGUG
rnacentral:rRNA from 1 species